rnacentral:rRNA from 1 species
AGGUAACAUCAAAUCGUACCCCAAACCGACACAGGUGGUCAGGUAGAGAAUACCAAGGCGCUUGAGAGAACUCGGGUGAAGGAACUAGGCAAAAUGGUGCCGUAACUUCGGGAGAAGGCACGCUGAUAUGUAGGUGAAGCGACUUGCUCGUGGAGCUGAAAUCAGUCGAAGAUACCAGCUGGCUGCAACUGUUUAUUAAAAACACAGCACUGUGCAAACACGAAAGUGGACGUAUACGGUGUGACGCCUGCCCGGUGCCGGAAGGUUAAUU